GGGACACGUGGUAUCCUGUCUGAAUAUGGGGGGACCAUCCUCCAAGGCUAAAUACUCCUGACUGACCGAUAGUGAACCAGUACCGUGAGGGAAAGGCGAAAAGAACCCCGGCGAGGGGAGUGAAAAAGAACCUGAAACCGUGUACGUACAAGCAGUGGGAGCCUCUUAAUGGGGUGACUGCGUACCUUUUGUAUAAUGGGUCAGCGACUUAUAUUCUGUAGCAAGGUUAACCGAAUAGGGGAGCCGAAGGGAAACCGAGUCUUAACUGGGCGUUAAGUUGCAGGGUAUAGACCCGAAACCCGGUGAUCUAGCCAUGGGCAGGUUGAAGGUUGGGUAACACUAACUGGAGGACCGAACCGACUAAUGUUGAAAAAUUAGCGGAUGACUUGUGGCUGGGGGUGAAAGGCCAAUCAAACCGGGAGAUAGCUGGUUCUCCCCGAAAGCUAUUUAGGUAGCGCCUCGUGAAUUCAUCUCCGGGGGUAGAGCACUGUUUCGGCAAGGGGGUCAUCCCGACUUACCAACCCGAUGCAAACUGCGAAUACCGGAGAAUGUUAUCACGGGAGACACACGGCGGGUGCUAACGUCCGUCGUGAAGAGGGAAACAACCCAGACCGCCAGCUAAGGUCCCAAAGUCAUGGUUAAGUGGGAAACGAUGUGGGAAGGCCCAGACAGCCAGGAUGUUGGCUUAGAAGCAGCCAUCAUUUAAAGAAAGCGUAAUAGCUCACUGGUCGAGUCGGCCUGCGCGGAAGAUGUAACGGGGCUAAACCAUGCACCGAAGCUGCGGCAGCGACACUAUGUGUUGUUGGGUAGGGGAGCGUUCUGUAAGCCUGUGAAGGUGUACUGUGAGGUAUGCUGGAGGUAUCAGAAGUGCGAAUGCUGACAUAAGUAACGAUAAAGCGGGUGAAAAGCCCGCUCGCCGGAAGACCAAGGGUUCCUGUCCAACGUUAAUCGGGGCAGGGUGAGUCGACCCCUAAGGCGAGGCCGAAAGGCGUAGUCGAUGGGAAACAGGUUAAUAUUCCUGUACUUGGUGUUACUGCGAAGGGGGGACGGAGAAGGCUAUGUUGGCCGGGCGACGGUUGUCCCGGUUUAAGCGUGUAGGCUGGUUUUCCAGGCAAAUCCGGAAAAUCAAGGCUGAGGCGUGAUGACGAGGCACUACGGUGCUGAAGCGACAAAUGCCCUGCUUCCAGGAAAAGCCUCUAAGCAUCAGGUAACAUCAAAUCGUACCCCAAACCGACACAGGUGGUCAGGUAGAGAAUACCAAGGCGCUUGAGAGAACUCGGGUGAAGGAACUAGGCAAAAUGGUGCCGUAACUUCGGGAGAAGGCACGCUGAUAUGUAGGUGAAGCGACUUGCUCGUGGAGCUGAAAUCAGUCGAAGAUACCAGCUGGCUGCAACUGUUUAUUAAAAACACAGCACUGUGCAAACACGAAAGUGGACGUAUACGGUGUGACGCCUGCCCGGUGCCGGAAGGUUAAUUGAUGGGGUUAGCGGUAACGCGAAGCUCUUGAUCGAAGCCCCGGUAAACGGCGGCCGUAACUAUAACGGUCCUAAGGUAGCGAAAUUCCUUGUCGGGUAAGUUCCGACCUGCACGAAUGGCGUAAUGAUGGCCAGGCUGUCUCCACCCGAGACUCAGUGAAAUUGAACUCGCUGUGAAGAUGCAGUGUACCCGCGGCAAGACGGAAAGACCCCGUGAACCUUUACUAUAGCUUGACACUGAACAUUGAGCCUUGAUGUGUAGGAUAGGUGGGAGGCUUUGAAGUGUGGACGCCAGUCUGCAUGGAGCCGACCUUGAAAUACCACCCUUUAAUGUUUGAUGUUCUAACGUGGGCCCCU
rnacentral:rRNA from 1 species